GUGACAGAUACUCUGGAGACCAAUGUUCCCGGUCCAUUCAUGGAGCAAGUACAGCACAGGCAAUAGGAACAAGCUUCCCUCAACCUGCCUCUUGCCAAGGUACCUCAACCCUGCCCUGGAGGUUCCACUCUACGGAAGAAACAGGAGCUCACUCUCCACAACCCAUUCGGUCCUUAGCCAGC
ensembl:misc_RNA